GGGCAGAUGGCUGAGUUGGUCUAAAGCGCCAGAUUAGGGCUCUGGUCUCUCUGGCGGCAUGGGUUCAAUUACCCCUCCACUCA